UCCUUUUUAUGGCUGCACAGAAUUUCAUGGUGUACCUGGGAAGUAUAUGGUACAACAGCUUUCAAUUCCUGAAAGAACUGUCACUCCAGAAUCCUAUAUCCAGGGAAAAUAUCCCUCUGGAAUGAAGGGAAAUCAAGACAUUCUCAGAUAAAGGAAAAGGAAAUGAAUUUGUAGCCAGCAGAUCUAUCAUGAAGAAUGGCUAAAGGGAAGUUCUCUAAGCAAAAAGAAAAUGAUGAAAGAAGCAAACUUGGAGCAUCAGAAAGGAAGAAAGAACAUGAUAAAUGAAAAUAUGAGCUCCUCUUAUGAACAAGUGGUGACCACUGGCGAGUUACUUCACUGCUCCAAAUCUCACUCCCAUCUGUGCAAUGAUGACAACACCUAUCACAGAGGAAUGCUGGGAAGGAAGCCGAGACUUUGGUGGCACUUCCCUGAGACCUCUGCCUGUA